CUACCUUGAAAUCAAAUUGGAAACUGAGUGGAAAAAUAGUUCUCCUCUUGACCCUCUCUGCGUUUAUACUCCAAUCUACACCCAACGCAUGGCUUUGUUGUACACUCUGUAUGAGUGCCCUCUAUAAUUAAACCUUUAUUCAAAUCUCCUCCUGCCUUCUUCAUCACCCUUGGUUAGAUCAAAACAGGAGAGGCAAAAAAAAAAAAAGGAACUUGUCUGGGGUGCAGAAGCAGAGAGGAAGAGAUACUAUUUAAUGAAGCAGGCUAACGGUGGUGGGGAGAGAAAGUCUCAGUUCUCCCAUCUCAGAAACAUUGAGCCUGGAAAUAUUGCUGAAAUCACAUUUGGGAACAAAGCUCCGCUUUAAGUAGGCUCACCCAUGAGUGUUGCUAAGCAAUGGAGAGAAGGCGAGAGAGGGAGAGCGCCUGACUUCAGGAUUAGAAGGAUAGAUAGAAGGAAAACCACUAAGGCUUCUAUGUAGCCUUAUUUAAAGUCAGCUUCCAAGUCCUAUGUUUUUCUUGCCUGUCUUCUGACCUAUUUGCACCACAAUUAAUCAAAUAUGGUUCAGUAUCACCACGCAUCCAGCACAGAGUUGCGCCGCGUCCUGGAGCUCUGGCACAAGCAGUUACGCACCAGAACUGUCAACAUGUCUCCACAUUGAACAGGCAUUGCCACCACUGCUGGUUUCAACACCACAAUCCCAGAGCAGCGGCAGAGCCCACAAAGGAACGUGGUCCUGAACAAGUCAACAGGCAUGGGUGAAAGGUCUGCAAGCAACGUCACGCUCCAAACCUCAACAGUUCACUUUUCAUUUGCACCAGUAUUUCUAUUUUUGCUCUGUGGCAAAAAUACCCAGAGGCAUUGGUUGGAGGGAUUUUUAAUCUAUGAUUUGUUUAACUUCAAAACAAUAAAUAAAAACUAAAAAUCAAUUAGAGCAGCCAGGAAGAGAGAGUGCUGCUUUUGUUGGCUGGAAAUGAAGAAGUUUAAUGUAUCCUUUCAUAAACAAACCUCCUCUAUACAUGAUUUUCUUCUAACAACAGGCAGGCUUCAAAAGACAUUUGGAGGUUUGGUUCAGGAUAGGAACCCAAAAGUUGAGAAAAUUCAGUUCUCUGCAAAACAGAGCUGAAAGUCUUGAGAACAGCAUGAGUGAAAUUUCCAGUGCUUCCCAUGUCUGCUCAAGCAGAGACAGUACUGUUAAAACAACCUCUCAGGCUGCUUUUCAGGAAACUGGCUAUUUUCUGCUGAACCAGCCAGAAACCAUUAAGUUCAAUACAUAAAAUAAUGAAAAGAGAAGUUGGCUGCCCUCAAAGGUAAACAGAGGUCAAGGUGGAGCUUGGCAUGCAGUUAUUCUUUGGUUAAAGAAAAAAAAGCUGCUCCAUGCAGAUCUGCUCAAAUUAAAAGAAAUAAUUUACAUAAAGUUUAUGAACUCAUCUGUUCAUCUUCCAGAAGUAAUUCAGUGGAUGAGAUUAUUAGCAGGGCCAUUAGCAGAUCUGAACUCUUUCUAGGAAAAAAAGAUGAUUUGUAUGUCUAAUAAAAAUGAAACCAUAAUGUUCAGUUUCAAUUUGACCAACUAAUUGUAUAUAUACUUUCCAAAUUAAUAAAAAUGAACUUCAGUAGGUUCUACUCAGCAUCAAACAAGCCAUACACGUGAGAAAAUUAUGAGUUAUCAGUAAGCAAUGAGGUUAAAAUGCAGUGAAUAAAUCACUUCCAGAACCUAGAAAAGAUUCUGCAGGAUAUCUCAUCCAGACAGGUUUGCUAUUCCUUCACUGACAGUACUACAUCCUCUGCAGCCCUAACAGCUCCUGUGUUUAGACACCCAGGGAAAGGGUUGGGCAUAUUCAUAGCAUAAAUGAAUAGCAGGAAUGACAGACAAACAAAUGUUCUUUCAGAGGCCUUGACUGACCGACCUCCUUCACAGGCCUCAAUACAAAAUCCACUGAUUGAGCACAGGUGCUCAAAACCAGUAUUUGCAGGCCUCAAGUUUUAGAGCACAUAGAUGGAGUUAAUAAAACUACCAGGACUCAGACACUAAGUACAGUUUUCCUCUUUUCCUUCUCACCCUGCAGACAAUCCCAUUUUAAUUACUGCCUAACUCUCCACAUAACUUCAUUCCUCACUGUACUCUUCAUUAUUCUCUUUUCUAGCCUCUUUCUCACCCCAAGGCAAGACUGAGAAAGCAAGGACUGUCAGAGAAAGAAGUUGGAGGGGAAGCCCUUCCCCAGCAGCCUGGGACAGAACAGAACAGGUUUUCAGAAAUCCCCUGCUUUCUCAUCUCAGACGGUGCCAGAGCAAAUAGCCAGAGAAAGCAAACACCUGAGCCCACGGCCAGGCUCCCCCUCACACACCCCACCGGCCUCCGCAGGCUGGUGGAUGCGAUCAGACAUGUUCCUAGCUCCAAGGGAUCCCUGAGUGAUAGAUUUUACAUCUCAACCUUCCAAAAGAAAGGUGAAGGUGAUCAAUCAGAAGUGCUAUUUGUUAUCAGUCCUAAGAGCUGCUUACGGUGCUACUGGCGGGAGGUGUAUUUUAAAUUUCAUCACCCACUGGAUAUCUGUCUUCUGCCUCUGUUAAUUCCCAAGGCUGAUCAGAGCAAUCUAGCUAUACCUAUGGCCUAGAGAGAUUUUGGAGCAGUGCAAGUCAAAACACCCUUGCCUUGCAAAAACAUUAAAAAUAGAUACUUUGAUUGCACUUAAAAAGGAAGCAUGCUUUGACCCAGACAAGUCCAGGCUAGAUUGCCCAUGACCUUGACUAAUCUUUUCUUGGCAUGUUUUUGAGUGCAUCAUCUCCCUUGAGCACAGCACAUGCAGCACUCCCAGUUCCUAAUGCAGCUCUUUUUUUUUCCCCCAGGCAUGCUCAGAUGAAGAAUUUGAAGCUAGGUUUUCCUUUAAGGGCAAGGGAGGACUAGAAGUUUAGAUAUCCACAGUAAAAUUCUGGGG
rnacentral:lncRNA from 1 species